rnacentral:misc_RNA from 1 species
GAUGAAGAACGCAGUGAAAUGCGAUAAGUAAUGCGAAUUGCAGAAUUCAGUGAGUCAUCGAAUCUUUGAACGCACAUUGCGCCCUGUGGUAUUCCACAGGGCAUGCCUGUUCGAGCGUCAUUUCAACCCUCAAGCCCCGCUUGGUGUUGGGCCCCGCCCGCUGUGGCCGGCCCUAAAGACAGUGGCGGCGCCGCCUGGCCCUCAGCGUAGUACAUCUCUCGCUCCAGGGUCCGGUGGCCGCCUGCCAGAACCCCCCAACUCUGUGGUUGACCUCGGAUCAGGUAGGGAUACCCGCUGAACUUAAGCAUAUCAAUAAGCGGAGGA